GAUGAACGCUGGCGGCGUGCUUAACACAUGCAAGUCGAACGAAGCACUUUAUUUGAUUUCCUUCGGGACUGAUUAUUUUGUGACUGAGUGGCGGACGGGUGAGUAACGCGUGGGUAACCUGCCUUGUACAGGGGGAUAACAGUUGGAAACGGCUGCUAAUACCGCAUAAGCGCCCAGCAUCGCAUGAUGCAGUGUGAAAAACUCCGGUGGUAUAAGAUGGACCCGCGUUGGAUUAGCUAGUUGGUGAGGUAACGGCCCACCAAGGCGACGAUCCAUAGCCGACCUGAGAGAGUGGCCGGCCACAUUGGGACUGAGACACGGCCCAAACUCCUACGGGAGGCAGCAGUGGGGAAUAUUGCACAAUGGGCGAAAGCCUGAUGCAGCGACGCCGCGUGAGCGAAGAAGUAUUUCGGUAUGUAAAGCUCUAUCAGCAGGGAAGAUAAUGACGGUACCUGACUAAGAAGCACCGGCUAAAUACGUG
rnacentral:rRNA from 1 species